rnacentral:rRNA from 1 species
UAGUCUGCAACCCGACUACAUGAAGCUGGAAUCGCUAGUAAUCGCGGAUCAGAAUGCCGCGGUGAAUACGUUCCCGGGUCUUGUACACACCGCCCGUCACACCAUGAGAGUCGGGAACACCCGAAGUCCGUAGCCUAACCGCAAGGGGGGCGCGGCGAAGGUGGGAUUAGCGACUGGGGUGAAGUCGUAACAAGGUACC